CUCGGAGGUAUUGGGGUCACCCCGGUAGUCAGAGGCAAGACCCGGAACCCAGAGAAAUCCCCGUGCAAUGACCUGCGGAGCGCCUCUCCCACCACUCCCGCCGCGCGCCGGCCGGCCUCACUUCCAUACAUCACGGCUCUCCCAGCUUUCGCUGACUCCUCGUUUUUUAAGUCUUGGGAAAGCAAUGCAAUCUCCAUAGUAAUUUGGAGUUCACAGAAACUGCAUUUCCGGGAUUCAUUGAUUCCUCCGACUCAGUGCUGGAAGCUAGAUCAUUCCUCAUUUCCAUGAUUUCCCAUCCACGCUGAGAAGCUCUUCAACUCCAGCCUGCCCAUCCCGACGUGCCAGCCACCAGGAAGCACCGCUUAGAGUACCCCUUUCUCCGGGCUCCGCUCUGAGCUUCCUCAGUGGGAGCAUCCCCCAUGCCCUCCUUGACUCAAGGGGCUGGGAACGGCCUCCUUUCUGGCCCCUCUCCCUCAAAAAAGGGUGGGUGAGGCCAGAACUUGGAAGACAGACAAACGCACAAGCCUCCGUAAUUGUAAUUCCAAAUGAAUAACGAACGGUAACAUUGUCCAUCUCUUCCCCCUUUGCAUACACACAGGCACACACACGUCACCACACCUUACCAGCACAGCAGGCAAACCAGAAGACACAGUGGUAUCCACUUUCUGAUGGGUGGCAACCAGGAGGGACAUCGUGGCCAUUGCCAUUCACACACCCCUGGAACAUUCAGACCCCCGGAGCUCUGCGCCUGGUCCACUCCAGCACUGUCAGCCCUCCUGGCUGGGAAGUGGAGCCAAAGGCGCCAGCUUCUUGUCACCCUCAGUUUGAUGCAUCACCCUUGACGCCCUCCCUCCCUCCUCCAUCAAGGGAAAAAAAGGAGGGGGAGAGCCACCUAUCUAAGACGAGGUUCACUGAGGCAAUCCCAUCCUCUCCGGAGUUCUCCAGGGACAAAGGCUUCAUUCAAAUUAAAUGAUUCCACUGGAACGUUUUCAGUACCUACCUCUCAUGCCAUCUCUGUGCAAGGUGCUCUACAGGAUAAAGAGAUAGAGAAGACAUCAACAUUUCUUACUUCAAGAGCUUACAAUCACUUGACUGUUUUUCCUCAUAAGAAGUCAACAGUAUUUCAUGCUGAAAUUUAAAUUAUACAUGUAACUUUUAGUACACAUUUGUCUAUACCUGUAACAAGAAGCACUUGCGGAAUUCUAAAGGAAAAGUUCACCAACGAUUCCUGCUAAAACUUUCAGCAUUCAACGUUGUGGCAUCUCAGUGGUCUUAACAGAAAUCACGCUCAAUCCCAGCAGAAUUUUCAUGGUCCUCUGGUCCCUAUUUG
rnacentral:lncRNA from 1 species